UUGGAUUGAAGGGAGCUCCG
rnacentral:miRNA from 1 species